ACGUACACUCCUACGGGAGGCAGCAGUGGGGAAUUUUGGACAAUGGGCGAAAGCCUGAUCCAGCCAUGCCGCGUGCAGGAUGAAGGCCUUAGGGUUGUAAACUGCUUUUGUACGGAACGAAACGGCCUUUUCUAAUAAAGAGGGCUAAUGACGGUACCGUAAGAAUAAGCACCGGCUAACUACGUGCCAGCAGCCGCGGUAAUACGUAGGGUGCAAGCGUUAAUCGGAAUUACUGGGCGUAAAGCGUGCGCAGGCGGUUAUGUAAGACAGUUGUGAAAUCCCCGGGCUCAACCUGGGAACUGCAUCUGUGACUGCAUAGCUAGAGUACGGUAGAGGGGGAUGGAAUUCCGCGUGUAGCAGUGAAAUGCGUAGAUAUGCGGAGGAACACCGAUGGCGAAGGCAAUCCCCUGGACCUGUACUGACGCUCAUGCACGAAAGCGUGGGGAGCAAACAGGAUUAGAAACCCGGGUAGUCCCAUGA
rnacentral:rRNA from 1 species